UUCUCUACCAGCCUCCCGUCCUCACGGAAGUCAUCUGUAGCUUUGCCCAGGAGGCCACGCACUGUGUAAUCCUUCAAGGACAGGGAGCUCUCCUGUCACCUGGGGACAGUAACAGGGCCAGUCUCACAGUACUGCUGCCUGGAUUCAGCAGGACAUGGUACCUGGCUCCCAGUCAGCAGGCUUCCUACAAGACUGCUGGCUGGUUUCCAUGACAACCAGCACUGGCAGCCUCCAAAGCCCCUGCACAGCACACGAUCAUCAAAAAAAUGCUUGCUUAUGGCUUGGGUGUUCCCCCACGGAAUCCUCUAAGCUUCAGAAUCCUGCUGGUGACCCCCAGGAAAGGACCAAGGGAGAAGCAGGCUGUCCCCAGACCCUCGUACCUUGGUAAGAUGAGCAUUGUACAUAUCGGUGAGGAGCCUGCAUCCAUGUCCCACGCCGAGCACUGAAAAGCAGCCAGCGUCAUUUCACACCUGGGACCCCCUUCCCAUUCCCCUAAGUAUCCCCACCCCUACCCCCACCAUCAGAAUACUCCCUUUUCUGAUGCUGCCAAAGGCAACAAGAAGGCAAAAAGAUCUUCUACAGGGGGCAGGUGCGCCCCUCUGGGUAUAUAUCACAUGCAGAUUGCUGGGCCUUACCCAUAUGCACUGAAUCUGACUCAUGGUUGGAGGGGGCCUAGGAUCCCUGCCAAGCUCCCCACAGGAUUCUGACACCUGAGAGGAAGAGAUCCCUGGCCUAGUCACACAAACCUGCACUCAAAUCAGGGACAGCUCUGAGUAUAAUCUUUAGCCUCUUUGAGCGUCAAGUUCCCCAUCAGUAAAAUGGGGGUAAAAAUACUGUCUGAAGGCCAGGCGCAGUGGCUCAUGUCUGUAAUCCCAGAACUUUGGGAGGCCGAGGCAGGUGGAUCACCUGAGGUCAGGAGUUUGAGACCAGCUUGGCCAACAUGGUGAAACCCCAUCUCUACCAAAAAAUACAAAAUUAGCCAGGUGUGGUGCUACACUACACUCCAGCUUGGGCAACAAGAGUGAGACUCCGUCUCACAAAAAAAAAAAAAAAAAAAAAUUAGCCAGGCGUGGUGGCAGGCACCUGUAAUCCCACCUACUCGGGAGGCUAAGGCAGGGAGAAUUGCUUGAACCCGGGAGGCGGAGGUUCCAGUGAGCCGAGAUCGUGCCAUUGCACUCCAGCCUGGGAGACAGAGCAAGACUCUGUCUCAGUAAAAAAAAAAAAAAUACUGAUUCCUGUGGGUGCUGUACAGUCGGCACAGAGGAAGGGCCCAAUAAACGGUGGCCACUGUGGUCACUUCCUGCCUUUCUCCCGGUCUGUUUCUCCCUCUGGCUGAGGGACAGAAUAACCCUGCAUUCACUCGUGGGGAGACAGAACAGGGAGAGGGGGCAUGAGAUCAUGUCUGCCUGCCUGUGCCUCAGGAAGCAAGACAAGGGGACUGUGACUGUCGCGGCUGGAGGAUGUGGGCACCACCUGACCCUGGGGACACAGAUGGCUCAUGACUAGGGCUUUGUGUGUCCAGACCCAGCCACAUGCAGGCCCUGGCCAUUAGGUCCAGAGUCACGCGCCUGGCUGCCCCAUGAUGCAAUGAUGGUUUUCCUUCUCCGGACCAGGGGUAUUCACUGGCCACAGGACCCAGAACAAGUCACCUAAAUCCUACUUUCUUCUUCCAUAAAAUCAUAUAGUAUCUACCUAAUAAAGUUGUUGUGGUAAAUAAAUGUGCAUAAAGGGCCUCGAACUA